rnacentral:pre_miRNA from 1 species
UCAUCUGGAGAAGCAAAGAAAGUGGUUUCUUGAGUUGGAAUCUACUCCUGGUGAAGAUGCUGUGAA